CCCAUUGGAAUGCAUUAAACGAGUUUCAGUGCAUUCCAAUGGGAAAUGGCUUUUCGCAUGACGACGAUUUUGCUUAAAAGCGAUUUUCCCGUCAUGCAGUGCACCACUGUAUCAGCAGGGAUUCUCCUGCUCAUUUAAGUCUGAGUGGUGGGGCCCAGGAGACUGGCAUGGUAAACAGAGAGUCUUAAAUGUAAUAGUCUAGAAAUUAUGAUCAAGAAAUUUUUGCAGAAUUCUGCCACAGCUCCUGAGGAAUUUGGUUUUCUUUGGUGGUUGUGAGUUGAUCUUGUCACAGGACUACAUUGACUGAUUUUUUUUGUCAUAGUAAGGGAAGGGAUGUAUAACAGAAUGUUAAAAGGAACAACAUAUUAAAUCAUGCAUUAAAAAUAGAGUGCAUAUUAUUUGUUGAUGGUUAGAUAUGUGUGUCAUUCAGUGAAAGCAGAUGAGAACCUCAGCAUUACUUAUCUAAGUCAUUCUUCAGAAAAUAUACUGACAACUCUUCAGCCCAUCUCUGUACCAUGCCUAGAAAUGUCUCCUCCUUGGGUACAGACUAAGGUAAUCCUCUACUAUAUACAAAUUGUUACUUUUAGUGAUUUUUGUGACUGCAAACAAUCAGUUCCUAUGCCACUAUGGGUACAACACAACUGUGUAGGACUUAUUUUUGUAUAAAAGUGAUAAAGAGAAUAGCUUGAUGUUUAGCCAAAGAGAGGAUACAUAUUUAAGAAUGAAUUAUAUCGCAGUAAGGAUUAACAUCAGAAAGAAGGAAAGAACUGAUUAAAAAUGGGAAACGUUCUGUAGGUAGCCAAAGCCGAAAAGGCUUUGGCCCCCUACAUUUUGGAUGACAUCUCCUAGAAUCCCAUAGCAUUGACCAUGCUAUGUGGGGCCAAGGGCAAUUGCAGGCCAAAGUAUCUGGAGAGCCAAAGGUUCCCUUUGUGCCUUCUUUAGAUGAGCUGUCUUCUACCUUUUUUUGGCCACAGCCAUAACCACAAUAUGAAAGAAAUAAAGUCCAAAUUAGGAUUUUAUAUAAGGCGGUGUGUGAAGAACUCUUUCCAGUUUGUUGCCCCCUCAAAUUUUGCCAGGGGUCCCCAUUGAGAAUGGGUACUUUAGAUCCUUAGUUGUCAACUGGUGUGUCAUGAACUGUAACUGAUACUUGAUCCAACCUAAAGUAAGUAACUAGGUAGCAUUGAUGAAUUUCUUUCGUGUCUGUUUGAAAACAAAGGAGAUCAAGAAAAGAGACAUAUGAAAAAUGCAUGGAACCUAACCAUGUAGGCUGCAGUUCAAGACACUUCCUGGGCCAGAAGAGUUUGAGAAUCACCAAUCUAUAAUCUUCACUCUCGUGAACCCAAGCAACUUCGAGAAAAUCUAAUGAUGUUGUUUUCCUGGAAGUCUCUGAUACAACUGCUGGAACGUGUGUGUGUGUGCGUGUGCGUGCGUGCGUGCGUGCGUGCGUGCGUGCGUGUGUGUUUUGCAGUGGGUGGAGCUGAGAGCUUAACCCUUCCCCUUGCUCAUUAGAUUCUUUUAGUGCCAACUAUCAACCUCCUGCCUCUCCCAUCACUAAACUGAGUUUGCAGUUGCAACCUUAUCACUGUUGCUGGUGAUGACAAGUUAAAGAAACAUUGUGAGGCAAAAUAAACAGUCAUUAUUUCAGUGCCCCUUUCCCAUCCCAGAAUCAAAAUAUUAUAGAGCAAAACAUGAGGAAAAACAAACCUAAUUCCCUACCUCCUCUACAAUUUUUAUCUUCCUGGUCCUUUUGCUAUUUAAGCAUUUCUGUUCUGAGCUAUCUUCACUUAGUCAUUCAUGCAUUUUUAUCACACUGCCAGGUUAGCACCAUUCCAUCUCCUUCUGUUAUCCUCUUUCAGAGGACAGUCUGAGUGAUCAAUUUGGCCGAGUUACCAAAUUCCUAAUGUGAGGGCCCAAUGACAUACAUGCCUAGUGGCAGAAAAGAAGUUAAGGCACUGGAGAACUAACUUUAAUGCGUACAAGUGGCCCAGGGCAGUGUAUUUUCCCAAAGGGUUGACAUGUGACAUUAUAAUGAAGAAUGGCAAGACAGUUAGAAAUACAUCAAGUACUGGCACCACUUACUUAACUAAACACAGUUAUCACCCAGUUUGCCUUUUCUGGUCAAAUACUUAGAAAUAGAAACAGUUUUGUUGGUAUGUUUUUGGUUCUACUUUUAAAUCUCAUGUUUCUAUAGCAACACAUUUUAUUUACUUGAAUUGUGUCCCAUUAGAAUACUCUCAAGAACAAAUCUGUUCUGUGACUCGUGAGCAUAUCCCAGGUUUCUUUUUCCAAGCUAGAGCUGCUUCGUAAACACUUGGCUGCUUGGGUUUGGCCUCCUCCCCCUGAGAAGUACAAGACAGGCAAGUAUUCCAGGAGGAGGGAGGAGGGUCUACACAGUAUGGAGUGACUGCGAUUGGAUCUUCUGCUACAUUUGCACUUCAGAGGAGCUUCCAUGUUGGCUAUCAGUGUGAUAGGUCUUCCGCUCAGUAGUGCUCCUAAUUGUACCCUAUUACUUUUCUCUUUAAAAUGUAUUGAUUGUCAUAAGAGGAAGCACUUCGAUGUGCUGUUCUUGACAACUCUGUUGUACUAACAGCAGCACCUAGUUUCCAGUCUUGAUAUGAGGUGGUUCAGCCUUCAGUGACGUGCAUUUUGUAAGAGUAUUAUCCUGCCUUCCCAAUCUGAGCUCUCAAGAUGUUUUUGUGUCUCUAUGGGCUUUAAACAUCGACUAUGUUAGCUGGUUCUUAUAGGAGUUGUAGCCUGCAAAAUUACAUUGUAAAAUGCCUAGAAAGUGUUUUAAGUGCUAUGGGGUAGUAUAUAAAUUGCACACUUUGCUCUUUUGCUUUUAAUCCCAUGAAAGACCUGAGGGCAAGUCUAUGUACAGAUUAUCCCCAUUCUGCUUCCCAGGGCUUUGUAAAAUACAAGUCUUUUCAUGCAUCAGAAUCCUCCUGCCCUUCAUAAUGUUCAUUCUUGCAUCUACUAGAUUAUAGAAUUGGGAAGCUUUCUCCAUUACUGUAUUGCCCACAAAAAUGUACAACAAGCAAAAAUCAAUAGGAAAAAGAAUGGAAACUGUCAAUGAAGAAAAAGACGCAGUUUUAUAGACUUAUGUUAGACUUUUAUCUCUCUCAAUAUCCAGAGAUCAUUGAGAGUAGUCAGUGUGCAAUCAAAUUGAACAUGGCAGUCUUAGUCUCUUCAGCUUAACGAGAAAGCAUGUUUUAAUGUAAAGUGCAGUAUGCAAUUAGGUAAUAAAGCAUGGUAAGGUAAUUUUCAGUUUUCAUUGUCUUGGUUUGCACCUGCAAGAAUUAAAGCUGUAAUAUAUAAUAGAGUUUGGAAUAUGUACUUUUUUGUCUCUAUGUAUGUGUACUAAUGGGUCUGUGUCUGCACAGAAGCAUUCCUUUGGAACUUUCUAGAUAUAUAGAGUGGCUUUUGGUGGUAGCCCUGGCCCUCUGUGAGUUCAUGUGCAUGCUGCUGUUCCACUCUGGUCAUCAUGGUCGCUGGCUCACUGCAGGAUCCUAGACUUGACAGGCCAAAAAACUUACUUUCAGGCUCUUAUGUCCAAACAUUUAGCAGAGGCACAAGAAUCCUUUGUGUGAGAUAGUUGUUUUCUGAGCGGGGAAGUGGCAA